ensembl:misc_RNA 7SK 7SK RNA
GAUUGGGAGGGUGACUUGGUCACUCCAUUGAUCCCUUACAUUUACCUCAUGUGUCCCUCCAUAAGUUGUGUUCUCUAAGAGGAGGGCCUUCCCUGAUAGAGGAAGAAAGGAGUACCUUUCUUCCAUGAGGGGCUUAUGGUGGCUGCACUCCCUUGCUGAAGCCUCCAAACAAGCUCUCACGGGUCCACGUGGAGGUGAGGUCAAUAUGUAGGGUAGUCAAGCUUCCAAGACUACAGACACAUCCAGAUGAGGUGCUGCAUGUGGCAGUUGCCUUUCCUU